rnacentral:rRNA from 1 species
AACGAACGCUGGCGGCAGGCUUAACACAUGCAAGUCGAGCGCCCCGCAGGGGAGCGACAGACGGGUGAGUAACGCGUGGGAAUCUACCCAUCUCUGCGGAACAACUCCGGGAAACUGGAGCUAAUACCGCAUACGCCCUUCGGGGGAAAGAUUUAUCGGGGAUGGAUGAGCCCGCGUUGGAUUAGCUAGUUGGUGGGGUAAAGGCCUACCAAGGCGACGAUCCAUAGCUGGUCUGAGAGGAUGAUCAGCCACAUUGGGACUGAGACACGGCCCAAACUCCUACGGGAGGCAGCAGUGGGGAAUAUUGGACAAUGGGCGCAAGCCUGAUCCAGCCAUGCCGCGUGAGUGAUGAAGGCCUUAGGGUUGUAAAGCUCUUUCACCGAUGAAGAUAAUGACGGUAGUCGGAGAAGAAGCCCCGGCUAACUUCGUGCCAGCCGCCGCCGUAA